GGCAGGCUUGUGAGAAUCAUUAUGCUCUGUUUUAUUUUGUGGUUGAAGGCUUUAUUGUUUGUUUGUUUAUUUAUGUAAUUUGCAGCAUAAGUCUUAAGCCUGUAAUGUUAUGUUACCUGCCCCUUGACCCUCUCCCCGUAUAAGGAGAUUUGAAGGAGAAAGUGUUAUUUCACAGUUUUGGAACUUCUGACACAAGCGUUUUCAGAUAGUGAAUAGAACCUAGAAGCUGCAGACUAAAUAGAAAUGAGGUUCAUGCUAGUGGCUGGGUCCAUAUGGAGGCUCCCUAGCAUAGCUCACACCAUGAGUAAUCAGAGAGGCACCUCAUCACCUGGUUUUAUGAAGUAUGCCUGUGAUUUCCCAGCCCUAUAAAAGUUGAGAAAUCAAGAAAGAAAAGCCAUAGAGAACUUAGGUAAAAAUGAAAAGGACAAAUCGGUAGUUUAGUAAAAACAUCUCUGAAAUUGUUGGCUGACAUGGGGAUAAAAAUAUCUAUUCCAUUUAAUUCAAAGAUGCUAAAAAAUUAUUUCUAUUUCUGUCUUCCCUCUAAAUAAACUCUCUAGAAACUAAAAA
rnacentral:lncRNA from 1 species